rnacentral:rRNA from 1 species
CUACGGGAGGCAGCAGUGGGGAAUCUUAGACAAUGGGGGAAACCCUGAUCUAGCCAUGCCGCGUGAGUGACGAAGGCCCUAGGGUCGUAAAGCUCUUUCGCCAGGGAAGAUAAUGACGGUACCUGGUAAAGAAACCCCGGCUAACUCCGUGCCAGCAGCCGCGGUAAUACGGAGGGGGUUAGCGUUGUUCGGAAUUACUGGGCGUAAAGCGUACGUAGGCGGACUGUUAAGUCGGGGGUGAAAUCCCGGGGCUCAACCCCGGAACUGCCCUCGAUACUGGCAGUCUUGAGUUCGAGAGAGGUGAGUGGAACUCCGAGUGUAGAGGUGAAAUUCGUAGAUAUUCGGAAGAACACCAGUGGCGAAGGCGGCUCACUGGCUCGAUACUGACGCUGAGGUACGAAAGUGUGGGGAGCAAACAGGAUUAGAUACCCUGGUAGUCCACACCGUAAACGAUGAAUGCCAGUCGUCGGGUAGCAUGCUAUUCGGUGACACACCUAACGGAUUAAGCAUUCCGCCUGGGGAGUACGGCCGCAAGGUUAAAACUCAAAGGAAUUGACGG